CCAACGUGGACAUCCUGUGAGAUGGCUCUGUCCAUGUGGCGUAAGGGAGCGUAGCACGAAAGUGCCAUGACGUACAGUCCCAUUCCGCAACGUUGAAGAACAAGCUUGUCCCCAGCCUCUGGCUGGUGUGGACGGUGUCCUGUAUAUUCCUACAUCUUUCCAGAGCUCUUUGGGCCGUGUCUGGGGAGGUAAACCAUGCAGUGCACAACC